rnacentral:snoRNA from 1 species
UUGCGUGAUGACUGUUUCCGACCGGGCGGACAUAAUUGUAUCGACCUGCCACUGGCUUGCCAGUAGGCGCGCCCCAGUGUACAAUUUCGGGGCGUUGGCAGCCGAGAAUUGAUGAGUGGUCGUAAGAUAGCUGACU